rnacentral:sRNA from 1 species
UCCCUUUGCCCACAGCUCACGUGGAGUGUGUCAGUCCGUUGUCCCCAGCAUCAGGGCUGUCCUGGAUGAGUUGUUAAAAGGAAACUCUUAAAACAAGGCAACUCUCUCCCUAACGCCCCUGCAUCCCUGUUCCCACUUGUAGGUGGUCUGGACUUGGCUAUUGAGGGCCCCUCAAAAGCAGAAAUCAGCUGCAUCGACAACAAAGAUGGGACAUGCACAGUGACCUACCUGCCCACUCUGCCAGGCGACUACAGCAUUCUGGUCAAGUACAAUGACAAGCACAUCCCUGGCAGCCCCUUCACAGCCAAGAUCACAGAUGACAGCAGGCGGUGCUCCCAGGUGAAGUUGGGCUCGGCCGCUGACUUCCUGCUCGACAUCAGUGAGACUGACCUCAGCAGCCUGACGGCCAGCAUUAAGGCCCCAUCUGGCCGAGAUGAGCCCUGUCUCCUGAAGAGGCUGCCCAACAACCACAUUG